GCAUAAUAAAUCGCCCUUUAAUUGUGGGCUUGUAUGAACGGAUAAACGAAGGCUUGACUGUCUCAAUUUUAAAAAUAAAAAUUGGCCUUUAGGUGAAAAGACCUAAAUUUUUUUAGAGGACAAAAAGACCCCGUAGAGCUCUGUGCUUUCAUUAAAAUAUGGCUUAUAACCUGUAUAAAGACAUUUUGAAAAAAGUUCUUGGCUGGGGCGGCUAUGGAGCAAACAACCUCCACAAACAUAAAAAAGAUACUUCAAAUCUUAUUUUAUGAUCCUAAUUUAGAUCAAAGAAAUUAGCUACCUCGGGGAUAACAGAUUAAUCCCUUUUGAGAGUUCACAUUGACAAAGGGUUUUGACACCUCGAUGUUGGCUUAGGGUCACCUUGGGGUCAGCAGCAGCCCCAAAAGGUAGGUUUGUUCAACCUUUAAAACCCU
rnacentral:rRNA from 1 species